rnacentral:rRNA from 1 species
GUGCCAGCAGCCGCGGUAAUACGUAGGGGGCAAGCGUUGUCCGGAAUUAUUGGGCGUAAAGCGCGCGCAGGCGGUUCUUUAAGUCUGGUGUUUAAACCCGAGGCUCAACUUCGGGUCGCACUGGAAACUGGGGGACUUGAGUGCAGAAGAGGAGAGUGGAAUUCCACGUGUAGCGGUGAAAUGCGUAGAUAUGUGGAGGAACACCAGUGGCGAAGGCGACUCUCUGGGCUGUAACUGACGCUGAGGCGCGAAAGCGUGGGGAGCAAACAGGAUUAGAUACCCUGGUAGUCC